GUGUUAGGCACCCCACCUCGUCCCUUAAUAAGGGUAAGUAGAUUUAAUUCUGCGUCCUUUAUAAAUUAGUUAGGAAGGCUUAGACGGCAAUGUUAAUCCUUUUGGUAGAAGGAAUAUUUGAUUUUUCACUAAAUUUGGAUCACCCAGAUACAUAAGUAAAUGAGACAACCUUAGUGAACGGGUGUGAGAAUCGGAUAAGAACUCUCCUCCGAUCUCUUUUAAGUUGUUUAUUAAAAUUUUGAGGGGAGACCGGAUAAGAACCCUCCUCCGAUCUCCUUUAAAGUUAUUUAUUCAAAUUUUGGGGGGAGACCGGAUAAGAACCCUCCUCCGAUCUCUUUUAAGUUAUUUAUUAAAAUUUUGGGGGGAGACCGGAUAAGAACCCUCCUCCGAUCUCCUUUAGAGUUAUUUAUUAAUGUUUU